ensembl:snRNA U6 U6 spliceosomal RNA
GUGCUUGCUUCGGUAGCACAUAUACUAAAAUUGGAACGAUACAGAGAAGAUUAGCAUGGCUCCUGCACAAGGAUGACACGCAAAUUCGUGAAGCAUUCCAUAUUUUU